rnacentral:rRNA from 1 species
CAGCAGCCACGGGAAUACAGAGGGUGCGAGCGUUAAUCGGAUUUACUGGGCGUAAAGCGUGCGUAGGCGGCUUCUUAAGUCGGAUGUGAAAUCCCUGAGCUUAACUUAGGAAUUGCAUUCGAUACUGGGAAGCUAGAGUAUGGGAGAGGAUGGUAGAAUUCCAGGUGUAGCGGUGAAAUGCGUAGAGAUCUGGAGGAAUACCGAUGGCGAAGGCAGCCAUCUGGCCUAAUACUGACGCUGAGGUACGAAAGCAUGGGGAGCAAACAGGAUUAGAUACCCCUGUAGUCCCUGUCUCUUAUAA